rnacentral:tRNA from 1 species
CAACAAAUAUUUUAAUUAGAAUAUUAAUUUUGGGUAUUAAAGGUGUGGGUUCUCCUACUUUGUUGA